UGAGACCAACCGUCAUAAGGCUACAGCCACUGCCAGCUAUGUCCUGCCUCUAAAACAAAAAUAACCAGUUUUAGCAUUUUAACGCACACACCAAGAGCCGACUUGCUGCUCUUUUAUUUAUUUAUUAAAAUUAUAAUAGAUAAAAGCGUCGAGUUGUUUUUUUUUAUAAGAAGGAGAGAAGAUGUCUUCCCCCGCGCAGGAAAGGAGCUCUGGCGUCCAGCUGGUGAGCGCGGCGCUGCUGCUGCUGCUGCUCUCGCUCUCCGGUUGUUCAAGCAUGGAUGUGCUCGUGCCCAAUAACAUUAAUGCGCUGAAUGGAACAACUGUCAAAAUCCCCUGCACAUUUACUUCCUGCUAUAAGAUGGAUGCUACCAAGUUUGCCAUGAACUGGACCUACCAAGAAUCACUUAAUGAUACAGAAGAGAUGUUUAUGACAUUCUAUAGGAAAAAAGGAAUGGUGCCUCUGCGUUUGUACCGGUUUGGAGAGAGGGUCACUUUUGUCGGGAACCUGGAUAAGAAUGACCUGUCAAUCACCCUAUCAGAUGUUCAGCUGGAGGAUGAGGGGAUUUACAACUGCUAUGUCAGAAACCCCCCAGACCGCAUCCAGGGACAUGGUGUCAUACAGCUCAGUGUUGUUACCGAACUUCCUCCUCCGAGGGAUUCAACCAUCGCAGUUGCAAUUGGGGCUUCAGUGGGUGGAGCCUUAGCUCUGCUGAUCCUUUCCAUGGUAGUAGUGAAAUGUCUCCGUCGACACCGGAAACAGGAACUGAUUUCAGAGGAGAAGAUGGAGGAGGAGGGAAAACUGGAGGCUGAGGGUGUUGCAGAGGAGGGAACCAAACAACCAUAGCUGGGUCAUCUGAUUGAACCAGCAGCCUGUGGAGCCCUCACCCCCAACACCUCCUUUGACAUGUGCACCCCCUUCCUGAAGAUCUAUAGUAACCACUGCUUGAAUCAUCAUCCACUGAUACUUCCAUCCCUUCUGCAUGUGUGUGUGUAUGUGUGUGUGCCAGUGCACACAAGUGUGAUUCUUAAUGUGUGUGUGUGUGCGUGUACUGAAUGUGUCUACGUGUGCCUGCGUAUUUCUAUAUGUCUGCGUGAGAUGUGUCUUUAAUAAGCUAGGUAACACUUUUCUGCAACAUAACCACUAAACACAUAUUGCUUUAUUCAAAGUUACAAAUCAAUAUCAGUGGCAUUAGAAGUCUAUCUCAUGAUUAGGAAUGCCAUUUUCAUAGCAAACUAUACGACGGCGGCACGACCUAACAUUUAUACCACAGUAUAGUUUGAAAAUGGAACGGUAACAAUAUUGCAGCAUCACAGUAUCCAAUUUUAUCGCCUGAAGUUAAAUCUAUUAUUAAUUAACUAUUAAUAAAGUUAACAGUGGUUGUGGAGGCAGAGCUUCAUACUUAAUGAAGUUCAACGCUUAUUACACUGCAGAGCAGACGUGUGUAUAUCUGUUGUGCGAUGGUAAAUUGUGCCGUUGGCUUCAAUGUCUCACAACAGCUGCAGUCCAACUUUGGGAUUUUGUUUUGGGUGAAAUGUUUUGGUUUAACAUACUGUGAAUCAUGUUUUUUUCAACAUUGCCUUAAAAUCAUGUGUCUCAACUGCCUGUAUGGGCACCAUGUCUUAACACAGUUGCACAUAUGUACGUAUGUGUAAUGUCCUUCCACCGCUGGCUUUUCUUAUAAUAAAGACAAAUAAUAGCCAGUGACUCAGCCAAAUCAUGUCUCUGUAUGUCUCAAUGAUGUCUACUUGUGUCUGAGCCAGAGAGGUUAGUCUUUUUUUUUUUGCCAACAGACAUUCUGACUUGUCACAGUAGGAAAAGCACAGGUGUUGCUAAUCACACAGAUGGCUCUGUUGUAUUCAAUUGUCGCAGUAAGUCAUGACAGUAGCUGUGUCCAAAAUCAUUCCCUAUUUACUAUAUAAUGCACUAUAUUUACCCUCUGCCAUUUUCUUUGAGUGUUCCUGCAAUGGGACAGAAAAAGUAGUGUCCAUGGCACAGACAACAAUCCCACAAUACAUUGUGUCUCAUUUUGAAGCUAUAAAACACAUUACCUCUGUCAGUGGUAACACAAAAUGAUGAUGAUUAAUAAGAAGAACUAUAGAAUAAACUACUGAAUGUCUAUUAUAUAGGGAGCAGUAAAUGAAUUAACGAGGGAGGUAUUUCAGACAGAGCCAGAGUGACAGUGAGCCAGCAGGCACAAUACCAGGACCCUGAAACUGAAGCAGCUAAAUGGAAUUCAGCCAUCAUUCAUUUUGUGUUUUUUCUACUGUGACAUGUCAAAAUGUCUUUUGUGAAAAAGGAAUUUAAAGCAACACGUUCUCCAAUCAUCUCUUUAUCUUUUGGUCCUGCCUCUGUCGUCUAUCUGUCUUUAUUUCUUCAUCUACUUUUUGUUAGCAUGCAAAAGUGUUUUUUUUUUUGUAAAAGGAAGCGGAAGACUUUUUAUUGGUCUCGGUGACAAUGCUUAAAUGAACAACUUCACUGGUUAACACGCAGUGAGUUGUAGUGAUGCUUUAUGUGACUUUACAGUUAAAAUUAAUUCUGUACUAAUACAAACAGCAAAGCCAAAUCUUUAUAUUUCUACUGUAUGUCAUUACUGGUUAUACUGUCCACCACUAUGACAGAAACUUCUGCACCCUGGCCUUGUCUAGAGGAAUGAAUGCUAGUGUACCUGAAUAAAGAGGUUCUAGUAGCAGGCAAAUAUUUCAGUUAGGUCUUUUAUUUAUAGGGUUACCAUUCAAUACUUAGAAUUUCCAUGACUGCAAUACAUUGUACAGUUAUUUGCACAUAAUGCAUAGGAAAACGGUGUUGAGCUUUCCUCUCAGAAUUCUUCCCUACAAUACAAAUAAAGCUACCACUGGAUGAGGAGUAUGUGGUUAGAGAUAAAAUUAAGUGAAAAACUCACAUUGCACCCACAAUCACAUUAUUCAUGUUGGUGCCAACCUUUAUGGUAGGAAUUAAUAAUAGUUGCCCAAACAGAAGCCUACACACGGACACAGUUACAUAGUAAUCCUUACCAUGACCCAUAAGAGUUGAGUCCCAUUUACAGAUAGUAAUACAGGAAGUAAUACCAAAUGAUUCAAAUCAAAAUAUAAGAUGCUUAUAUUCAUGACUGACAGAGAAGAGCCUACUGACAAACUUUUAGUUUGAUUAGUGUCUAACUAUGAAUUGUCAUUGUCCACCAAAACAGGUAGAAUUAGUUAUUUUGGAGACUGAAGCAUGCACAGUGUACUAUACCGCCAUGAAUGCAUGUCAAACAGUACAUAUCAAAAAGAAACAUAUUGUAAUAAAGUAAGAAACUUAAUUCUGUUCUGUUAAGUUUCCCAGAAAACCACGGCAAUGUGAGUCAGUCAAAGCAUGUUUAAGGUUUCACUCUAUGUUGCAAUCAGGUGUUGCCAUUUAUCAAAUAUUAUAAUAACUGGAUUUUAUUUAGAUUUCAUUUUGACACAUGCAUAUAUAUUUUGUUUGCAUAUGUCAUUUGUAAUGUCUCAGAGGUAUUUGGUCGAACUUUGAUGAGUUUCAUCUGCCUCCUGUAAAAUAUCAAGAAACAAUUACACGUUUAAUAUUUCUUAUCAUGGGGAAAAAAAGCUUCCAUACAGACUCUUAUAAUGUCUUUUUAUUAUAGCUCCAACUGGAGUCCAACUGGAACCCUGUUUUAUAGAGAUUUAAAAUAAAAAAACUUUGAUCCAUUACACCUUGAUACAAACACUUUUUGGUGUGUAUUUUAAAGCAGAUUAAUAUAUAAAAAAGUCAUAAAAGUUUUAAAAUGUACAUCCUAGCUCUGUAAUGCAUUUACCUCAACAGUGGUUUAUAAACUCUAGAUAUUGUUUUGCACAUUAACACAUUUAUACCAAUUCUAAAAUAAUCAUAGUGGAGAGCAUGUGAAUAUAAUGAAAAUGAGGAAAACAUAUAAAGCUCACUUUAUUAAGAUGGUAUAUUGGAAUGUGUGGCUGUUGUAAUAGAAACAUGGCAUGGCAAUUGUAUGGUUAAAUGGGAAAUGUAUUGGUAGUGUAUUUGAUCAUUUAUUUGGUUGGAGCACCUUAAAUGUUGAAAAAAAUAUUCUCUUUAUAAGAUACUUGAUCACAAAUUUGAAGUUCAUUUUACAUGUCACAGCAUAUGAGCUUUAAUGUCCUAUGAUGUUUUAACUAUGUUUAAACAGGCCAGCUGUGCCACAAAGUGAUGUGUCAAUGAUACCGGUCUCUCAAGCUAGUUAGCUGUGUUAUCCAGCUAUUGGCGUGUGGUUUGUGCUUUCAAAUCUGGUGGCUUGGCCAGUCGUGGUUUCUGACAUUGUUAGAAAAAAAAACUGUACAGGUGUGUUUAGGUCUAUAACUUAAUUGGGGUCUUUCAUUGGUUUUUAUUAUUUCUGAUUUUAUCAUUUAUGUUUCGCAACAUUACAGGUGAUGUAUUGUGUGAUUUCCUGAAAUAUCAAAUGCACAUCUUUGGCAUCACAAUAAUACAAUAUUUUUUUACGAUUAUGUGUGUUUUACACUAUCAUGCUGUGAAGAACAACAAUAAAAUGGUGAUUUAUUGAUAUAUUAAAAUAGUUGGCAAAAUACUUAUAACGGCAGUUGUUUGGCUGGGAGAGCCCUAAUUCACAUUUCCUGGGACACUGCUGUCUGUGUGUGAUCAUGCAUGUCUAAGUUGCUAGGUUUGUCUGGUUGACCCAUAAGGUGAUGACCGGUUAACAUUUGGGGCAAAUUUAAUGCAGUUUUUACCAGAAAGGUUUUGUUGGCAAUAUGAAGUUACAUACAUUACUGUAUAUUGUAUAUACUGUAUUUCUCAAUUAGAAACAAUUAAACAAACAAAAACAUGAAUAAUGUAUCAUGUACUAGGCAGAUUUAUCAUUGUGCAUCCCUGUUUCCCACCUCUGGCUAUGAGUUUGCCCAGAAUAGUUGCUCUUGUAUCACUUUAAAUGUUAGUGAACACCAAACUAAUGCUUGCACUGUGCUGCCUCUGAACAAGCAGCUGUCAUCACAUUAUGUAUUUUAAAUAAAGGAAAAUGUCACAGUU